AUUCUGCCCAAGCGGGGAAGGAUGUGAAGCUUCGACCAAGGUUCGACUUGAGCGCCAGCGAGAGAGCGUUGCCGCAGGCAACGACCCGAAGGGCGAAGCGCGCAGCGCUGAG
rnacentral:sRNA from 1 species